rnacentral:rRNA from 1 species
GAAACGGCAGCUUAGCUUGCUAAGCUGGACGUCGACCGGCGCACGGGUGAGUAACGCGUAUCCAACCUGCCCCACGGUGAGGGAUAACCCGCGGAAACGCGGCCUAAUACCUCAUGGUCUCCGAGUUUGCCAUCAACCUUGGAGUAAAGAUUCAUUGCCGUGGGAUGGGGAUGCGUCUGAUUAGCUUGUUGGCGGGGCAACGGCCCACCAAGGCAACGAUCAGUAGGGGUUCUGAGAGGAAAGCCCCCCACAUUGGAACUGAGACACGGUCCAAACUCCUACGGGAGGCAGCAGUGAGGAAUAUUGGUCAAUGGGCGAGAGCCUGAACCAGCCAAGUAGCGUGCAGGAAGACGGCCCUAUGGGUUGUAAACUGCUUUUAUGCGGGGAUAAAGCGGGCGACGUGUCGCCCUUUGCAGGUACCGCAUGAAUAAGGACCGGCUAAUUCCGUGCCAGCAGCCGCGGUAAUACGGAAGGUCCGGGCGUUAUCCGGAUUUAUUGGGUUUAAAGGGAGCGCAGGCCGGGUAUUAAGCGUGUUGUGAAAUGUAGGCGCCCAACGUCUGCACCGCAGCGCGAACUGGUGCCCUUGAGUACGCACGACGUUGGCGGAAUUCGCCGUGUAGCGGUGAAAUGCUUAGAUAUGGCGAAGAACUCCGAUUGCGAAGGCAGCUGACGGGAGCGCUACUGACGCUCAUGCUCGAAAGCGCGGGUAUCGAACAGGAUUAGAUACCCUGGUAGUCCGCGCGGUAAACGAUGGAUGCCCGCUAUUUGCGCAUUAGCGCAAGUGGCCAAGUGAAAACGUUAAGCAUCCCACCUGGGGAGUACGCCGGCAACGGUGCAAC